CUUAACACAUACUCCUAAGCAAUUACGAUUAGAAUAAUAAUAUAACGCCUAAAUAAGCUACGGAGGAGUCCGCAAUUAAGGAUUAAAAUCAGUCUGUCCUUGUUGACGUGGAAUCUCCGUUCAAGCCUGACGUCCUCAAAGGCAAGGUAGCUCUCAUCACCGGAGGCGGAUCCGGAAUCGGUUUCGAGAUCUCUUCUCAGUUCGGCAAACAUGGAGCUUCCGUCGCCAUCAUGGGACGCAGGAAACAAGUCCUCGACGCCGCCGUCUCUGAUCUCCGAUCCCUCGGGAUUCAGGCUAUUGGAUUGGAAGGUGACGUUCAAUUGGGCUUUGCGUGUCUAUUCACGACAUAGGAUCAGUGGAAGGAGGUUUUGUUUUACCCGGUGAUGGUGCUGCCACCUAUAAGGUAGGUUUUAGAAUUGUAGUGUUUCGUCCAUUCGUUGGUGAAGUCAUUGCUGCAAGGUUCAAAGAAUCUGAUUCCAAUGGAUUGCGCUGUGAGUACUACUACUGUUGUGCAUAAUGAUUACUUAUACGUUUCAAGAACAUCAGCUGUCCACCUGUUCCAACUGAGCGAGGAGAUGAUGCAAAUCCUUUUGCUCCUAUGGUGGUCACUAGAAGUUCUCAUUCUCUGAAGCUAUCUUACUUGGGACUUUUGAUGAUGAUGGUUUGGGCCCUGUUUCUUGGUGGGAAGGUUCUACUUCUAAUGAGAAUCAUGAAGAUGAUGAUGAUACCUGAACCAAACUUCAAUCUCCAAAUGUAAGACUUCAGGUUCUUAAACUAGUAUGUUUUUCUUAACAUAGGAAGUUGGAAUUAGACUCCUUUCCCAUGAUUCUAGGAUUAGAUUCCUUAAUUUUGAUUUUAUCUGUCUAUGGAAAAAAUAUUUUUCUUAUAUAUAUGUGCAACUCUUUUGCCCUGCUCUCAUGGACUUGAGGAACACUACCCUCAGAACUAUGCGAGUGUCCUUAGCCAACCAAGUAUACCAAGAAGACCAGCAUCAAGUACCUUCGAUUUUCUCUCAAGCCCUACGAAUCAAAAGGUUAAAAAGUGUUAGCUUCUUACGCUCAUAGCAAUCAACAAGUCUCUAUUACACUUGUCUCACCAAUGUCAGCAGCUACACGAUGAGCACACAUCACUCCUGAGACAAGAUUCAGAAAAUUCAAGAGUUGUGUUUUAUUCCUAAGAACUCCAUAUUGGAGAACACCAUUGGAGAUAGAAUUUUGAUUACGGUCCUUAAUUAUUCAAAAAAAAUUUAGUUUAAUAAUGCUAAGGACUUUAAUGGUGGUAACACUAUUGGAGAUGCUCUAAUAAACUCCAAUGGUCUUCUUCUCAUCUUAAUAAACAAGAAUGUUGGUAGCUU